GACGAACGCUGGCGGCGUGCCUAAUACAUGCAAGUUGAGCGCUGAAGGUUGGUACUUGUCCCGACUGGAUGAGCAGCGAACGGGUGAGUAACGCGUGGGGAAUCUGCCUUUGAGCGGGGGACAACAUUUGGAAACGAAUGCUAAUACCGCAUAAAAACUUUAAACACAAGUUUUAAGUUUGAAAGAUGCAAUUGCAUCACUCAAAGAUGAUCCCGCGUUGUAUUAGCUAGUUGGUGAGGUAAAGGCUCACCAAGGCGAUGAUACAUAGCCGACCUGAGAGGGUGAUCGGCCACAUUGGGACUGAGACACGGCCCAAACUCCUACGGGAGGCAGCAGUAGGGAAUCUUCGGCAAUGGACGAAAGUCUGACCGAGCAACGCCGCGUGAGUGAAGAAGGUUUUCGGAUCGUAAAACUCUGUUGGUAGGGAAGAACGUUGGUGAGAGUGGAAAGCUCAUCAAGUGACGGUAACUACCCAGAAAGGGACGGCUAACUACGUG
rnacentral:rRNA from 1 species